rnacentral:rRNA from 1 species
CCGUUGAAGGUGGUCUGUGAGGGCUGCUGGAGGUAUCAGAAGUGCGAAUGCUGACAUAAGUAACGAUAAUGCGGGUGAAAAACCCGCACGCCGGAAGACCAAGGGUUCCUGUCCAACGUUAAUCGGGGCAGGGUGAGUCGACCCCUAAGGCGAGGCUGAAAAGCGUAGUCGAUGGGAAACAGGUUAAUAUUCCUGUACUUGGUGUUACUGCGAAGGGGGGACGGAGAAGGCUAGGCUAGCCGGGCGACGGUUGUCCCGGUUUAAGCAUGUAGGCGGAGUGACCAGGUAAAUCCGGUUGCUUAUCAACGCUGAGGUGUGAUGACGAUGCACUACGGUGCAGAAGUAGUUGAUGCCAUGCUUCCAGGAAAAGCCUCUAAGCAUCAGGUAACAUGAAAUCGUACCCCAAACCGACACAGGUGGUCAGGUAGAGAAUACUCAGGCGCUUGAGAGAACUCGGGUGAAGGAACUAGGCAAAAUGGUGCCGUAACUUCGGGAGAAGGCACGCUGGCAUUAGGUAAAGGGACUUGCUCCCGGCGCCGAAGCCAGUCGCAGAUACCAGCUGGCUGCAACUGUUUAAUAAAAACACAGCACUGUGCAAACACGAAAGUGGACGUAUACGGUGUGACGCCUGCCCGGUGCUGGAAGGUUAAUUGAUGGGGUCAGCCGCAAGGCGAAGCUCUUGAUCGAAGCCCCAGUAAACGGCGGCCGUAACUAUAACGGUCCUAAGGUAGCGAAAUUCCUUGUCGGGUAAGUUCCGACCUGCACGAAUGGCGUAAUGAUGGCCAGGCUGUCUCCACCCGAGACUCAGUGAAAUUGAACUCGCUGUGAAGAUGCAGUGUACCCGCGGCAAGACGGAAAGACCCCGUGAACCUUUACUAUAGCUUGACACUGAACAUUGAGCCUUGAUGUGUAGGAUAGGUGGGAGGCAUAGAAGUGUGGACGCCAGUCUGCAUGGAGCCAACCUUGAAAUACCACCCUUUAAUGUUUGAUGUUCUAACUCGGCCCCGUAAUCCGGGGUGAGGACAGUGUCUGGUGGGUAGUUUGACUGGGGCGGUCUCCUCCCAAAGAGUAACGGAGGAGCACGAAGGUUAGCUAAUCACGGUCGGACAUCGUGAGGUUAGUGCAAAGGCAUAAGCUAGCUUGACUGCGAGAGUGACGGCUCGAGCAGGUACGAAAGUAGGUCUUAGUGAUCCGGUGGUUCUGAAUGGAAGGGCCAUCGCUCAACGGAUAAAAGGUACUCCGGGGAUAACAGGCUGAUACCGCCCAAGAGUUCAUAUCGACGGCGGUGUUUGGCACCUCGAUGUCGGCUCAUCACAUCCUGGGGCUGAAGUAGGUCCCAAGGGUAUGGCUGUUCGCCAUUUAAAGUGGUACGCGAGCUGGGUUUAGAACGUCGUGAGACAGUUCGGUCCCUAUCUGCCGUGGGCGUUGGAAGAUUGAGAGGGGCUGCUCCUAGUACGAGAGGACCGGAGUGGACGAAUCACUGGUGUUCGGGUUGUCAUGCCAAUGGCAUUGCCCGGUAGCUAAAUUCGGAAGAGAUAACCGCUGAAAGCAUCUAAGCGGGAAACUUGCCUCGAGAUGAGUCUUCCCUGGGGCUUUAAGCCCCCUGAAGGAACGUUAAAGACGAUGACGUUGAUAGGCUGGGUGUGUAAGUGCAGCGAUGCAUUGAGCUAACCAGUACUAAUGAACCGUGAGGCUUAACCUU